GAAAUAUUGCGGUCAAUAAAUCUUCUGUUUUGAUCAUUUAUUUCCCUGCUUCAUACAUUAAAGAGCACCUAUUAUGGGAUACACGUUUUUAAACAUCAUUUUGUGUGUAAGUGUGUAUUAGUACAUGCUAACGAUAUUCAAAAAGUACAUACCUCAAAGAAAACGAUGACCCGAGUUAUCGUCUCUAACGUUCGAGGACUACAAAAAACACUCGGAUUGUAGGCAACAGUUUACUUCCUGGGAUUAGUGACGUAGAUAAGACCAACAUUAUCAUAGUUCAGCCCUCUCUGCUUUGCUUGGGUACGCCCACAAAGACGAGGGUGGGGAGCGCCGAGUCAGAAGAGAGCUAAAAUGGCGGAGGUUGGGAGUCCCUGCUUUGACUCUGUUUGCAAACUCUUGUUUCAUCAUUUAAGCGAUUUAAUCUCUCGAGUAGACGCUGUCUCUUUAGAUGCGAGGGCAAAAUAGCACUUUAUGGACUUCCACAGAGGACAUCAUGUUUAAUACGGUUCCGGAAAAAUCCAGUCAGAAGUUGUUCACGGAGUUUUCACAAUAACUGCUUCUCAUGAACCGAAGCUGGACGUCUCCUCCUGAAAGUUGGAUUACUGUGCACUUCUGGAUCACAGGCUAUUCGCAGCUGGACACAUCCUUCUACACUGUAUGCAAACAUGCAACAUCAUUACACACAGUACAAGGAGUCAGACUGGCAUAUGAGGAGCAAAGGAACCCAGGCAGUAGCAUCUUUUCACAAUGUUUCCAUCACCAUCAUCAGUGGAUGCCUUUGCCGUCCGUAGCCUGAGAUUUCAGAUUUGCAGCAAAAAAAUUUGAUUUUCUCAUUUAUUGGAAUGCUAUGCAGGUUGUACCUUGCAGCCAUCCAUUACAAUGUCACCAAGCCAUAACAAAAGCAGGAGAGGGAAAGUACAAGGCUAUGUUCCCAAAAAACAAAUGACAUACCGUAAGCAGUAAUGUUUUAUUUCAAAUACAUUCAUAAUUAAAAACUUAAUGUAUGAAGCAGGGAAAUAAAUGAUCAAAACAAAAGAUUUAUUGACUGCAAUAUUUGUACAGUUAUGUGGAGGAUGUGA